UAUAAAUAAUCUUCAUAGAGACAACUCUGUAAUUUGAAAAUUCAAUGACAAGAGUUUCAGUGUUGUUUCCUUGCGUCCUGGUUUUAUUUCUUGUAGUAUUUGCAUCAGGUAUGGUGAAUGGUUGUAACUACCCAUGCCAUGGCCCACAUGAUCCUUGUGGUAAUCUGCACUGUCCUGGUUGCGUAAAGCAAUGCGUGAAGUCAUGCUGCCUUUGUAAUUGCAAUGGAAAUGAAACACCAGAAAUAAACAUGUAAACAUUUAAUGUCUUUGAUGUGAGAUUUAUGAGUAAUAAAUAAGAGAAGUUUAAUUCUACUUCAUC